rnacentral:rRNA from 1 species
AGGACGAACGCUGGCGGCACGCCUAACACAUGCAAGUCGAACGGAGAUUGAGAGCUUGCUCUUAAAUCUUAGUGGCGGACGGGUGAGUAACACGUGAGCAACCUGCCUCUGAGAGAGGGAUAGCUUCUGGAAACGGGUGGUAAUACCUCAUAACAUAGCUGGGCCGCAUGAUCCGGUUAUCAAAGAUUUAUCACACAGAGAUGGGCUCGCGUCUGAUUAGCUAGUUGGUGAGGUAACGGCCCACCAAGGCGACGAUCAGUAGCCGGACUGAGAGGUUGAACGGCCACAUUGGGACUGAGACACGGCCCAGACUCCUACGGGAGGCAGCAGUGAGGGAUAUUGCACAAUGGAGGAAACUCUGAAUGCAGCGAUGCCGCGUGGAGGAAGAAGGUUUUCGGAUUGUAAACUCCUGUUUCGAGGGACGAUAAUGACGGUACCUCGGGAGGAAGCUCCGGCUAACUACGUGCCAGCAGCAGC